rnacentral:ncRNA from 2 species
AACAAAAGUAGAGGUGCGUUGCAUAAAAGUCAUGUUGAAUUGGGUGAUGCCAAUAAUUCGACAUAAAAGGAUGCAAUGCCGAAAUAAAUGGGGUUAUCAGCUUCAUUUGUUGGGGCAGUUCUCGAAAGGGACUGCACUGUCAUAGUGUUUUUAUCAACUUGAUAAAAAGAAUGAUAUUCAUAUUAAAUGGAUAUUGCUGUGGAGUGCUACUAGUUAA